rnacentral:rRNA from 1 species
AGAGUUUGAUCCUGGCUCAGAACGAACGCUGGCGGCGCGUAUUAAGCAUGCAAGUCGAACGGUAGAGUGUCUUCGGACACUUGAGAGUGGCGGAUUGGUGAGUAACACGUAGGUAAUCGGUCUCUGGAUUGGGGAUAGCUCAUGGAAACAUGAGGUAAUACCGAAUAAGAUUGUAAUUCAAAAGGAAUUACAAUGAAAGGUGCUAAGGCAUCAUCUGGAGGAGAGCCUGCGGCUGAUUAGCUAGUUGGUGGGGUAAAGGCCUACCAAGGCGACGAUGAGUAGCCGGCCUGAGAGGGUGAACGGCCACAUUGGGACUGAGACACAGCCCAGACUCCUACGGGAGGCAGCAGCUAAGAAUCUUCCGCAAUGGGGGAAACCCUGACGGAGCGACGCCGCGUGAGCGAAGAAGGCGGAAACGUUGUAAAGCUCUUUUCUAUCUGAGGAAUAAUGUCUGCAGGGAAUGGUAGACAGAUGACGAUAAGAUAGGAAUAAGCCCCGGCUAAUUACGUGCCAGCAGCCGCGGUAACACGUAAGGGGCGAGCGUUGUUCGGAAUUAUUGGGCGUAAAGGGCGUGUAGGCGGACUAACAAGCUUGGUGUGAAAGACCCCAGCUCAACUGGGGAGGUGCACUGAGAACUGUAAGACUAGAGUCUAGGAGGGGAAGCUGGAAUUCCUGGAGUAGGGGUGAAAUCUGUAGAUUUCAGGAAGAACACCAGUGGCGAAGGCGAGCUUCUGGCCAUAGACUGACGCUGAGGCGCGAAAGCGUGGGGAGCAAACAGGAUUAGAUACCCUGGUAGCCCACGCUGUAAACGAUGUGCACUAGGAAUAGGAGAUGGAUAAGAAGUUUUCUGUUUCGAAGCUAACGCGAUAAGUGCACCGCCUGGGGUGUAUGCCCGCAAGGGUGAAACUCAAAGGAAUUGACGGGGGCCCGCACAAGCGGUGGAGCAUGUGGUUUAAUUCGACGAUACGCGAGAAACCUUACCAGGGCUUGACAUAUACUGUAAUGCUGUAGAGAUACAGCAGCUGCUUGCAGACAGUAAACAGGUGCUGCAUGGCUGUCGUCAGCUCGUGCUGUGAAGUGUUGGGUUAAGUCCCGCAACGAGCGCAACCCCUGCAGUCUGUUACCAGCAUGUAAUGAUGGGGACUCAGACAGAACUGUCGGUGAUAAACCGGAGGAAGGUGGGGACGAGGUCAAGUCAUCAUGGCCCUUAUGUCCUGGGCUACACACGUGCUACAAUGGCCGGUACAGAACGAAGCAAAGCCGCGAGGUGGAGCGAACCGGAUAAAGCCGGUCACAGUACAGAUUGGAGUCUGAAACUCGACUCCAUGAAGGAGGAAUCGCUAGUAAUCGCGCAUCAGCAUGGCGGUGAAUACGUUCCCGGGCCUUGUACACACCGCCCGUCACACCAUGGGAGUUGGUUGCACCAGAAGUAGAUAGCCUAACCUUCGGGAGGGCGUUUACCACGGUGUGAUCAAUG